CGAACGGGUGAGUAACACGUGGGUGACCUGCCUCGGAUGGGGGAUAACCAUGGGAAACUGUGGCUAAUACCGCAUGGGCUUGUUAGACUUGGCGUCUAACGAGUAAAGCUUUAGUGCUUCGAGAGGGGCCUGCGUCCGAUUAGGUAGUUGGUGAGGUAAUGGCUCACCAAGCCGAUGAUCGGUAGCUGGUCUGAGAGGACGAUCAGCCACACGGGAACUGAGAAACGGUCCCG
rnacentral:rRNA from 1 species